GGAAUAUUGGACAAUGGAGGCAACUCUGAUCCAGCCAUCCCGCGUGCAGGAUGACGGCCCUAUGGGUUGUAAACUGCUUUUGUUAGGGAAGAACUCCCCGGAUUUAUCCGGGGAUGACGGUACCUUUCGAAUAAGAACCGGCUAACUACGUGCCAGCAGCCGCGGUAACACGGAGGGUGCAAGCGUUAUCCGGAAUUACUGGGUUUAAAGGGUGCGUAGGCUGCGCAUUAAGUCAGAUGUGAAAGGCCGUGGCUCAACCAUGGAAUUGCCUUUGAUACUGAAGUGCUUGAAUCAGGUUGAGGACAGCGGAAUGUGGCAUGUAGCGGUGAAAUGCAUAGAUAUGCCAUAGAACACCGAUUGCGAAGGCAGCUGUCUGGGCCUGGAUUGACGCUGAGGCACGAAAGCGUGGGGAGCGAAC
rnacentral:rRNA from 1 species